UUGGUCAGUUUCCUAUGUUAGUCAGGUUGUUCGUCAGUUUCCUACUUGGUUAUGCUGUUGAUCAGUUUUCUAGUUGGUUAUGUUGCUAGUCAGUUUCCUAGUUUGGUUAAGCAUUCCAUAAAUCAUGGGGAUUCAGCCUAGGUUUUCUUCCUUUUUGGGGCCCGGGGUGUUUAUAUAUAACCAGCAAUCGUUCUAUGAAUUGACAAGACAUGUUUGGUUUUUGUCAGAUUUC
rnacentral:lncRNA from 1 species